rnacentral:misc_RNA from 1 species
ACAUAACCUGAAAUAUUGUUUAGGGAAAAUAAAUCAACAAGUGCAAGUACACAAUCGUGCAAAAUUCCCAUCAGUGCUCACAUAUGAGAAUAAUCCGUGAUUAAUUAACAUUUAGAACAAUUUUACAUGCCCAUGUACCGAUCUAAAUGCGGUGCAUCGACUUGCUGACCCUGGUUCCACUUCAUUCUGAAUGUUUAGAAUGAUAAUUUCCUGUUCACACAAUCUCUAGAUUAAGAUGCUGGUGAAAUGUCGGCGUUUAAAGAAAAUCUACUUCAAGAUAGGCCUGGGUUUGGUUCUACUGGGCUUCGUUUUGAUAGUCUACAUGAAACACCUAGAUGAGAAGCUGGACAUUGGAGUAAAAGACAAUCUAGUUUUAAGUGAAAAUAAAUUGGAACAACGAAUAAGUGAAUGGGAAUCGAAAAUCAUACCGGGUUUAGGUGACAAUGGGGAGCCAGCAUUUUUAGAGGGAGAAGAUGCCAUUGAGGGCGAAAAAUCCCAAAAGAAAUUCGCUUUAAAUACUGUUCUAAGUGAUAGAAUGCCUUUAGAUAGAAAACUGAGGGACCCAAGAAACAGCAAAUGCAAAGAGCUGAAAUAUUCACCCACUAUAAAAGCGUCAAUUAUUGUGAUAUUUUAUAAUGAACUCAUGUCUGUUAUCCUGCGAACCGUUUGGAGUGUUCUUUUACAAACACCCAGCCACUUACUACAGGAAAUUAUUUUAGUUGAUGAUUGCAGUACGGAUGAUCACUUAAAAGAUUUACUGCAAUAUUACUUAGAUACUAGAUUAAAGAGCUACAAUAUAAAACUUGUGAGGUUGAAGCACCGCAUGGGACUGAUUAGGGCCCGAUUGCAAGGGGCUCGAGUGGCUCAAGGCGACGUACUGAUAUUUUUAGAUGCCCAUUGUGAAGCAACUAAGGACUGGAUUGAGCCUCUUCUGGCGCGGAUCGAGGAAGACCGCACAGCGGUUUUAGUGCCUAUUAUUGACGUGAUCGAAGCUACCAACUUGGGCUACUCAACUAAUGGAGAACUAAAUUUCCAAGUAGGAGGCUUUUCGUGGUCAGGUCACUUUACCUGGAUAGACAUUCAAGAUGAAAAUGACAAGGGGAAAGUGAAACCAGUGAAAUCGCCGACGAUGGCUGGCGGGCUUUUCGCCAUUGAUAGAAGAUUCUUUUGGGACAUUGGAUCCUACGAUGAGCAAAUGGAUGGAUGGGGAGGCGAAAAUCUGGAAAUGUCUUUCCGUAUCUGGCAGUGCGGUGGAAGGCUUGAAACGGUUCCUUGCUCAAGGGUGGGUCACAUCUUCCGAGACUUCCACCCCUAUUCGUUCCCAGAUAAUAAAGAUACCCAUGGAAUAAACACUGCCCGCCUAGCUCAUGUUUGGAUGGACGAAUACAAGCGCUUGUUUUUCAUGUAUCAGCCCGCCUUGGAAAACAAUCCGAUUGUCGGAGACUUAACUCAUCGAAAGCAGCUAAGACAGAAGCUGAGAUGCAAAAGCUUCAAAUGGUACCUACAAAACGUUUACCCAGAGAAAUUCAUCCCCGAUGAGAACGCUUUCGGGUAUGGCCAAGUAAAGACUGACUUCCAAAUGUGCUUGGACGAUCUCCAGCUUCCAGAGGACAAAGUAGGACCGUUGGGCCUUUAUCAAUGUCAUCAGUUCUUCGCGGUGUCUCAAUACUUUUCCCUAAGCAACAACGGAGAAUUGAGAAAAGAAAAUUUCUGCGCUGAAGUGUUUAACGAACACGAAGUCCACUUGACUGAAUGCCACGGCCAUAAACGCGAACAGUACUGGAAACUGUUCGAAAAUGGCACCAUUUACAACCCAGCUUCAAAAAAAUGCCUGACCAGCGACCGCGUAGAGAAUGGAAAAGGGGUGCUGGUGGCACCCUGUAAAGGCGACGUGUUCCAAAAGUGGACGUUUAGUCAUCUUAAUAAAACGGCAAUUGGCGCUUAAGUAGCCCUGUUAUGCCUUAGAAAGGAAAUAAGUGUUAAGAACUGUUAAAGUAUGCAUAGUUUACCACAGUGGGUGAAUAUUCUUCGAGGUUUAUUCAAAUUCUGUUUUGAAAUAUCAUUGAAAGACUGUUCUGCUCGUAUGGGGCUCACCGCCUUUGUGAAUGAUUGAUGGGAAUGAAAUUAAUAAAACAUUUGAUUUAUAUUUUUUUUUAUUUGCUUAUUCUCAAGAUUACAAGUUUCCUCUUCAUUAGUCCUUAAGGGUUUCAAAUUUAUUAGUGAAAGCAAGUUGGAAGCGUCUUGCUUUUCCUGAAGCCGCCGAUGUUUUCCGAUCAGAAUGAAUGAAAAAGAGAAGAUUGACCGCCGAUCGAUAAAUACAUACUGUUUUUUUCUACUGCGCUCUGUCGAUUUUUAGACCGAUUUUUAUGCCGCCCCUGAAAAGAAAUCGAUCGCGAAUAGUCCUGAGCGAAGCGCACCCUUAAGCGGUAGCGUAAUCAGCACCGGAAUGAAGUUUUUAGUUCGAUUUUUUCCUGACAAUCUCAUCCUCUAGUCGCCGCAAACAAAAGCUAGGCUGUUUUUUGUUAUGUUUGUGAUAUUUUCUUUGACUUGGGAUGAAAGAGGUAAUAAGUAUAUUAAUAUCAACCGUUUCAGGGUGGUACUACUCCAAAAUGGUGCCUGGCAUUUUUUGCAUGAUAUUUUUGCGCAUUCGCCAAUAUGUUCAGUAUAUAUGUAAAGAGCCUUAAUUCCAAUUCCGCGUAAAAUUCAGAAUUAUUGUUCGCUUGUAAAUCUGUAUUUCCUUUGACUUGGGAAGAAAGAGGUCAUAAGUCUAUUGAGAUCAACCGUUUCAAGGUGGUAUUACUCUAAAAUGGUGCCUGGCAUUUUCUUGGAAGAGUUUUGCGCAUUCGCCAACAUGUUCAGUAUAGAGGGAAAGAGUCUUAACUCCAAUUGCGCGUAAAAUUCUCCAGGAUUACUGUCCACUGGAAAAUCUGUAAAAAAUAGAGAAUCUUAUUCUUUUCAAUAAUUUGAUUCAAUCACUGUCCAUCAACUUCCAGUCUAUAGCCACUAAGGACAUUAUUUAAACUAAACUUUUUCCAUAGUUUUUCGCGUUCAGUACCGUCAUCUCAAAUAGCCAGCUUCACCUUCUUACCUUUGUGAAUUUUGCGCUGUCAUUUGCGACUUUUAGAAAGUUUACUCUUUUAUAUUUAUUAUCUACUCUUUAUACAUGUCGAGUUCUUCGAGAACCGAAAGCAAUCAUCCCAGUCAUUGCUCCACAUUGGCUUCAUCUCGCACGAACACAGUCAGUACUUUUACAAGCCGAUAUUCGUGCGAUUGCGAUGAAGAAGCAAGGCAAAAACUGCGCGCAGUUAUUUGCAUAAAAUCAUCCCUGGCAAUUUUCACUUUGCUUGGCGGCGCGUUUUUGGCCCUCACCAUUAACGUUUGGAGUAAGCGGACUUUCUGGUAAAUUUUCGCUCUCAACUUCUACUCUCGUAGGUCGCUCACAUGCAAACGAUGAUGAUUUACCAAACACGUUGUAUCAAAUUACAGCGAAUCUGGGAACAGGACUGUGCCUAAACAGUAACGAGUACAACGGGCUGAUACUGGUAAACUGUACUGGUCUGCAGAACCAGGAACAGAAGCCUUUUAUCUACGACGCCAAGGCAGGAAAAGUUAAAACGGUAAUAACAAUUUGACUGUCUUUUGCACGUUUUCAAUGAAAAACGUACAUUUUGCAGGAAAAGGGUUGCGUAGAACCGUUGGGCGAUAAAAUAGAUCAUAUAGGUGACGAACAAAGUGUGUACCCAAUUAAUGUGAAUCCAUGUGUUUCUGAUCGCAGAAAAGGCAGGGGGCAAUCAUGGAAAGCAUGGAAACCAAGCAGCGGUAGCUUCAAUUUGUAUAACAACAAUCAACGCAAUUGCCUCACUGGACUUGGCGAAAACCAAAUGGUAAUAUUAACUGAAUGCUCAGAGGCUGAUCUUAAGCAGCGUUGGGGCUUCACAACUCCUGAAAAUAUGCGAGAACUUCUUUACGGUGAAUCGCGUGUGAAGGAGUACGUUUGGGUGGAUGGUGCUGAAAAAGUUUGAAGUUUGUUCUCAAACUGUUCCUUUGCUUAUUUGUAUAUUUUUUAAAAUAUACUUGAUAUUCUUUAGAACGCAUUGUAUUCGGGUUUUGUAGAUGGAAAGUUUUAAAGUUUGCGUGCCGGAAAAAAUUGCAAACAAGGGAUUGGAAUGUAUUAUUGUCAUGUGUGGAGGAAUCAGCAAAUUGGCAAUUUCAUCGUCUGAACUGGUAAUUGGAAGUGGGCGGUCGCCCCCAAGAAAAUAUCCAGAAUCGCCCCACAUAAUAAAAAGGGGUUUGAAGAAUUCCUAACAAUUUUUCCAGCAAAGUGUAACGGAAUUUUUAACAAUAAUCUACUAUUUAUUGGCAAACUUCAUGCACAGC